rnacentral:lncRNA from 1 species
CCCCAAAUAACCCCAAAAUUGCCCCAAAUAACCCCAAAAUGGCCCAAAUGGCCCCAAAUAACCCCCAAAUAACCCCAAAAUUGCCCCAAAUAACCCCAAAAUUGCCCCAAAUGGUCCCAAAUAACCCCACCCCCCCCCCCCCCCCUGAAUAACCCCAAAAUUACCCCCAAAUGACCCCAAAAACAGCCCCAAAUAUUUCGGGUUCAUUUUGGAGCUUUUCUUUGAAAAUUGCACUUCUGUACAAACGGCGCUUUUACCGAUUUUGGGGUUUUUUGCCUUUUUUUUGGGGGGGGGGGGGGGGUUCAAUUUUUGGGGUGGAAAAUAAAGAAAUUGGGACCCAACGCUGCUGUGGUUUUGUGGGGAGAUCCCAUAAUCCGGGAUUAUGGUCCUUAAUCCGGGAUUAGAGAGCCUUAAUCUGGGAUUACAGCCCAUAAUAUGGGAUUAGAGACCCUUAAUAUGGGAUUACAGCCCAUAAUAUGGGAUUAGAGACCCUUAAUCUGGGAUUAGAGACCAUAAUAUGGGAUUAGAGAGCCUUAAUCUGGGAUUAGAGACCAUAAUAUGGGAUUAGGGACCCUUAAUCUGGGAUUACAGCCCAUAAUAUGGGAUUAGGGACCCUUAAUCUGGGAUUGCAGCCCAUAAUAUGGGAUUAGAGACCCUUAAUCUGGGAUUGCAGCCCAUAAUAUGGGAUUAGAGAGCCUUAAUCUGGGAUUGCAGCCCAUAAUAUGGGAUUAGAGAGCCUUAAUCUGGGAUUACAGCCUAUAAUAUGGGAUUAGGAACUCUUAACCUGGGAUUACAGACCAUAAUACGGGAUUAGAGAGCCUUAAUCUGGGAUUACAAUCCAUAAUGUGGGAUUAGAGAGCCUUAAUAUGGGAUUAGGGACCCUUAAUCUGGGAUUGCAGUCCAUAAUAUGGGAUUAAAGGCCCUUAGUACGGGAUUAGAGAGCCUUUAUCUGGGAUUACAGUCUAUAAUGUGGGAUUAGAGAGCCUUAAUAUGGGAUUAGAGGCCCAUAAUAUGGGAUUAGAGUCCCGUAAUCCUAUAUUACAGACCUACUAUGUAAGGAAACCCCAUAAUCUGGCAUUGCAAUCCCCUAAUCCCACAUUGAAGACCAAUAAUAUGGGGAUACACCCCAUAAUACAAGACUACAGUGCCGUAAUUCCUAAUGGGAGUCCCAGAACCCGAGAUUAGAGGCCCAUAAUCUGGGGGAAACCCCAUAAUCUGGGAUUGCGAUCCCCUAAUCCCAUAUUAGAGACCCAUAAUAUGGGAUUAGACCUCCAUAAUCUGGGAUGGGAGUCCCAAAAGAUGGGAUUAGAGGCCUAUAGAUUCAGAUUAGAGGCCCAUAAUCUCAGAUUAGGGAUCCACACUCCGAGGGAUCCCCAUAAUCCGGGAUUCAGUCUCAUAAUCCGGACGUAGUGUUUUAUAAUCCAGAUUUAGUGUGCCAUAAUCCAGGGAAUGCCAUAAUCUGGGGCUGAACCCCGAAAUCCAGGGAUGAAAUGACCAUAAUCCCAUGGGGGGGUCCCCCUAAUCUGCAUUUGGAGUCACAGAAACCAGGAGGACCCCGUAAUCUGGGAAUGGUGCACCCAUAAUCUGGGAUUGGAGCCCCACAGUCCAAAGGGGGGGGCUCGUAAUCCAGGAGGAUCCCAUAAUCCAGCUUUGUAGUGUUCAUAAUCCAGAGUGAGGCCCAUAAUCCAGCUUUGUAGUGUUCAUAAUCCACAGUGAGGCCCCAUAAUCCAGGGGCCUCUUCAUAAUCUGGGCUUGGGCUGCCCAUAAUCCGGGUGCAAAUACCCAUAAUCCGGGGGGGGGGGGGAUGCCCUUUAUCGAGAAGAUGGAUGGAUAAUCCAGGAGUAUCCUCAUAAUCCGGGUUGAGAUGCCCAUAAUCUGGGUUGGGGUGUCCAUAAUCCAGGGUGUGACCCCAUAAUCCGGAUUGGGGUGCCCAUAAUCCGGGUUGAGAUGCCCAUAAUCCGGGUUGGAGUGCCCAUAAUCCAGGGUGUGACCCCAUAAUCCCGGUUGAGAUGCCCAUAAUCCGGGUUGGAGUGCCCAUAAUCCAGGGUGUGAGCCCAUAAUCUAAGUUGAGAUGCCCAUAAUCCGGGUUGGGGGGCCCAUAAUCCGGGUUGAGAUGCCCAUAAUCCGGGUUGGAGUGCUCAUAAUCCAGGGUGUGACCCCAUAAUCCGGAUUGGGGCGCCCAUAAUCCAGGGUGUGACCCCACAAUCCGGGAUGUGGGCCCAUAAUCCAGAGUGUGAUCCCAUAAUCCAGGUUGAGAUGCCCAUAAUCCAGGGUGUGACGCCAUAAUCCAGGUUGGGGUGCCCAUAAUCUGGGAUGUGGGUGCGUAAUCCAGAGCGUGAUCCCAUAAUCCAGCUUGAAAUGCCCAUAAUCCAGGUUGGAGUGCCCAUAAUCUGAGCUGUGAGCCCAUAAUCCGCGUUGAGGUGCCCAUAAUCCAGAGCAGGGACCCCAUAAUCCAGGAUUAGCUCCCCAUAAUCUGGCUGGAGGCCCCCCUACGGGAGGUGCUCGGCCCUAUGAGAUGACGGAGAGGUAACGGGGAGGGGGGGGGGUCAUCAGUGUGACCCCAUCCCGGGAUUAGGAUAUGUGGGAUUAGGGGAUUAUGGGAUUAUGGGGGGACGGCACUCACUCGGGGGGGGCAUCACAGCGGCUGCCGGAGCGCUCCCGGCCUGGGGGGGGCGUCCCGUGGUAAUCUGGGGGGGGUGAACGGGUCGUAAUCCUAAUCUGAAUCCCAUCAUUCCACUUAAUCCCAUAAUCCCGCCUAAGCACCCGGACUCAAAUAUCCCCAUAAUUCAUCUUAAUCCCACACUUCCAGCCCCAUGUAGCCCUCUAAUCCCAUCUCCCCACAUCCUACAACCCCAUAGCCCUAUAAUCCCACAACCCAACCACCCCAUAAACCCAUAAUCCCACAACCGAUGACCCCAUAAUCCCAUAAUCCCACCUCCCCACACCCCCAUAGUCUGCAUAAUACCACCCCCCACAUCCCAAAAACCCCAUAAUCUCAUAAUCCCACAGCCGAUAACCCCAUAAGCCCAUAAUCCCACCUCCCCACACCCCCGUAACCCGCAUAAUCCCACCCCCCACAUCCCAAACACCCCAUAACCUCAUAAUCCCACACCCCACGAUCCCCCAAAUCCCACCCCCUGCCCCCCGAACACCCCCAUAACCCACACAAUCCCACUCCCAGCAUCCCAAAGACCUCAUAACCCAAUAAUCUCACACGUCCUGCCCCAUAAUCCCGGCCUCCCUGCCCCAUAAUCCCAACUCCCACCCCCUAAUCACUCAUCCCCAUCACAUUAAUCCCCCCCUGCCCCAUAAUCCCGGCCUCCCUGCCCCGUAAUCCCAACUCCCACCCCCUAAUCCCUCAUCCCCAUCCCAUUAAUCCCCCCCUGCCCCAUAAUCCCGGCCUCCCUGCCCCAUAAUCCCA